GAUGAAGAACGUAGCGAAAUGCGAUAAGUAGUGUGAAUUGCAGAAUUCAGUGAAUCAUCGAAUCUUUGAACGCACAUUGCGCCCCUUGGUAUUCCAUGGGGCAUGCCUGUUCGAGCGUCAUUUGUACCUUCAAGCUUUGCUUGGUGUUGGGUGUUUGUCUCGCCUUUGCGUGUAGACUCGCCUUAAAAUAAUUGGCAGCCGGCGUAUUGAUUUCGGAGCGCAGUACAUCUCGCGCUUUGCACUCAUAACGACAGCGUCCAAAAGUACAUUUUACACUCUUGACCUCGGAUCAGGUAGGGAUACCCGCUGAACUUAAGCAUAUCAAUAAGCGGAGA
rnacentral:misc_RNA from 1 species